rnacentral:rRNA from 1 species
AACGAACGCUGGCGGCAGGCUUAACACAUGCAAGUCGAGCGCCCCGCAAGGGGAGCGGCAGACGGGUGAGUAACGCGUGGGAACGUACCCUUAUCUUCGGGAUAGCUCCGGGACACUGGAAUUAAUACCGAAUGUGCCCUUUGGGGGAAAGAUUUAUCGGAUAAGGAUCGGCCCGCGUUGGAUUAUCUCGUUGGUGUGGUAAAAGCCUACCAAUGCGACGAUCCAUAGCUGGUCUGAGAGGAUGAUCAGCCACAUUGGGACUGAGACACGUCCCAAACUCCUACAGGAUGCAGCAGUGUGGAAUAUUGGACAAUGGGCGCAAUCCUGAUCCAGCCAUGCCGCGUGAGUCAUGAAUGCCUUAGGAUUGUAAAGCUCUUUCACCGGAAAAGAUAAUGACGGUACCCGGAGAAGAAGCCCCGGCUAACUUCGUG